UGUGUUUCUUCAUUACUUGCUAUUUCUAAUAAUUCUUGUCCUUCUUGUUGUGUAGAUAUUUCUUGUAAUGGAAUUUCUAUAUUAUCGAGUUCACGAAUUGGUGCUUUUAUCGUUCUUUGAAAAUCUUGAAAAUCUGCUCUAGCUUCUCUUAAAUUAUCAGAUAUUUUAUAAUCAUCUACACCUAAAACAUCCCUGACAAAAUUAACACCGUAUUCU
rnacentral:lncRNA from 1 species